rnacentral:lncRNA from 1 species
UGCCAGAAGUACCUUUUGUAGAAAGGUUACUAACCUGCGACAGAUGAAAGUUAAAAGAACACGGUAGUGGCAGUUCGCAAAAGAAGAUGAUCACUGCUGUCUGGAACUGGUCUGCUGUGGACGAAUUGAAGAGGCAAGUGAAUGCAGUAUUUUAUGCCGGCUUUGGAUGGGUUUUCUACCUGGACUUCUUUGUGUCUGACUUCCAUGUCUGCCCAUACGUCCGUUUGGAGAACAGCUUACAGCAGCAGAGCAGCCAGGAAGCAGAGCAAGAAUACUUCCCACAAAUGAGUGCAUCCUUGCCAGCGUUUAACACACAGGCACUUUCAAACCACUUUAUGGAUUUAAGAAUCCAGCAUCCAAAAGCUUUAAGACACCAUUGCUUGAGAAGCUUUCAACAUCCUCAAAGGCAUCUAAUUGUUCAGGACAUACUGAGUAUCUGCACUUACAGAAAUCAAGCCUCAAGUGGAACUCCCCUGAAAGCAAGGCACCGGGAAGCCAAGAUUAGUUUUCAGAAAUCCCUCAAGACCACGUCACAAACGCACGUCUCUCCAUCACACCUGCCGUACAGUGUGAUUGCUCGUUCCUGCCCUAUCUGCUUGUUACAGAAGGGUGGGCUCAGACCUGGUUUCACACUGGCACAGCAAAUUGUGGCACAGCCCUUUGGGAUCUCAAGAAAAUGA